AAAAAUGCUAUGGUAUGUACAAUGGUGGUGGUGGUGUUACCUCAGCGGUCAGGUGAAGUAGAUGAAAACUUAAUCGUCCAUACUCUAUAGAAUAUAAGAAGGGGCAGAUGUUGACGCGGGAGGAUUUUGCUCGUUCUGUCUGGUCGAGUAGUUGGUCGAGCGUGUAGAACCUCGUCUCUGCCUACUCCUUGGCUCUCUCAACUCGGAGAUCACUUCCCGAGGCUCGAGUGAUGAAGCUCGGGGUUGAUCAAUCCUUUCAGCCCUCCUUUCAGCCCUCCUUGUGGAACCGCUUCUUCUUACUUCGGGGGUGGGAGACGGUGGCCUUGGCUUGCUCUAGAAGUCUUUGAUUUGACUAGCCAUACUCUUUAGUGAUUUCUUCAUUGUUCUCAUCUUCUUCUUGAAACCCUUCAUCGUUUUGCUGUGAAGGUUCCCAAGCUCUUCAAGCACACGGAGCUUCUUGUAAACUUCAGUUAUCUCAUCUCCUCCUUGAUCAGCAUCUGCUUCAUAAUGAGCUUGCUUGAAUUCUUUGGUCUCUUGCUCCGGUUGUUCGCUAAGUUGCUCGAACUCGACUUGCUGCUCAUAGUCAGCUUGAGUAUAAUAUUCUUGUUGCUCAUAGUCAGCUUGAGUAUACUCUUGUUCAUCUUCUCUAGCUCCUUCGAUGUCGAUGUUCAGGGAAGAGGGAGAUGGCAUGAAGUUGAUGUUGUGCCUUGUCUUCAAUGAAGUCCGGUUCUCGCAAGGUAGAGGUAACAAAGAAGGUCCAAGCUUUGGAUGGUUGAACUUGAAGAUAUAAUGAUCCGCCGGAGUCUUCUUUUCAAGAAAAUCCUUCCCCUUGAGAUAGUUGAGGUCGAUGAACUUGGGGAACACGUCAGGGGUUCCAAAUUGUAUCCUUGAAGCUCCUAAGAUUGGUGUUAAGAGACCACCAACACAAAGACUUCCGCAAAUCCCCGAGAGAUGGAUGGUUGCAACAUACUCUCUAUAGCUCAGUAGGUGGUCCAAAAGAACGACAGUCAACGAAGUGUCUACUCUAUCACCCGCCAUCUUCCUCCCAUCCUCGGUCUCUCUCAGAAUGAAGACCAAAGCUUGAGCAAUCAUGAAUAGCUCUCCUUCAUAAACGAAUCUGGUAGUCUUCUUUGGGAAAAGGGUAAUGGCGAUACAUUGGUGGAGGUAUCUAAUCACGAGACUUCGAAUUGAAGAACUCUUGCUCUUGGCGGGCGAGUAGGGCUUUGGACCGGCAAUUGUUGUCCAAAGAGAUUUUAUCUCAUCUUGGUCAUAGUCUUGGCGGAUUCUUUCUCCACUUGGAAACCCAAAAAUGGUAUCAAGGUGGCUAAUAUCAAGCUCGACACCCCCAACCUUGAAAUUUAUGUAACCAAGCCCUCCUCUUUCUUCUUUCUCCGAAUCAUCAACACAAAAGUGAACCUUGAGGGUUGAAAGGAGUUGGCAGCUCUCCUCUUUAAAUCCUCCACAUUGGCAGCUCAUGAACGUUGCAAGAUUGGCCAAUUCCAUGAAGUAUUCCACAUCACCACAAAUACCAAGCUCAAACUUUAACUCCUUCAAGUAUUGAUAGUACUCACUUGGGGUUGGCUCUCUCUUCCUCCUUGGUCGGUUUCUUUUGCCAACCGGGGCUAGUGUAUCAUCCCCGAUGAUCUCAACCUCUUCCUCAUGACCGCUUCUUCGAAGACUGCCUCUUCACGGUGUACUUCCUCAACCUCAACAACCCUCUUUCCCCGAGCUACUUCUUCUCUUAACAUGGCUGAGCGGCUUGAGCUUCCACCUAGAAUCAAGCUUGAUCUUUGAGCACAACGAUCUUGGCAAAUUUGGCGUUCAGUCAUGCCACUCAUGUCAAACGCCUCAACUUCUUCGUUAUCAACGGAGGAUCUUCUACCCCGAGAUGAACUCUUUCUCCUUGAAUCCAUGGAGAUUGGUGGUGAGCUUCAACAGGGCAAACAAGAACAACUCUCCAAGGGGUAUCAAAGUGGAAUGGAUUCGGUUUCUUUGGUGAUGAAAUUUUGUGCUUAAAACCGAUUAAAUGUGUGAGGAUAGACUUGGGAGUGAUCGAGUAACUUUGGUGAAGUAUUGGUGAAGGUGAGAACGAAUUCUUGAAGAGUGAUAGGGAGAGUUUGGGAUGAAACUUUUGAAGCUUUGUGAGAGAUAGAGAAUUGCAAAAAUGAGAUGAUGAAAGAGAGAGUUUCAAAAGGGUUUGGCGAAUUCAAUUCAAUGGGUGGAGGAGAAUGGUCUUUGGUUUGUUUUUGGAAGAGAUAGAAACGUUGAUUGGAAAUGGUGAGGAGCAUGGGUAAUUUCUUUGUCCAUCGAGUAAAGGAGUGUUGGGGGAAUAAGUGGGGUCACACAACUUCACUCCUUGGUCUCCAAAUAAUUCAAGCUCGAGUAAAGGAUCAAGCAUCUUCUAGAAUUACGCAUUACUCGAUCGAACGGUGG
rnacentral:sRNA from 1 species